rnacentral:lncRNA from 1 species
CAGGACCAGAGUCAGUCUGCAGGAAGAGGGGGGUCUGAGUCAGAGUAUAUGCCUCUGCAGAAGAGAAGUACAGAUGUCUAUGAUACUAUCACACCCCUAUAUAUGCCACUGCAGAGAGGCGCCACAGAUGUCUAUGAAACAAUUAAAUCAUCCAAAGACUCUCAGGAAGAUGAUGAGGAAGGAUAUGAUGAUGUGGUUCCCUCCGACACCAGAGCAGAGGAACAUGUGUAACUGAGGAAAAGAAAGGGAGAGUUGUUUUCAGAUUGUGAAAGGCUGAGUUCAACUCCAAUAAGAUACGCUAGGUGGCAGCCAUUUAUCUUCUGUGUCACUGUAAUUAUUUACAUACUGCUCAACAUCAUAAUACCUUCUUUAUUUUAAUGUAUUUUUAAAAGUUCACUUUAUCUUCUGUAGAAAUAUAUAGAUGUAUUUUAGGCAUUAUUGAUUGCUUAUUACUCUUUUAACUUGAUACAUUUCACAAAACUGUUAUUUUACAUGAUUGUCUCACCUGCUGAUUUUGUAUACAUUUGUAUGUAAUGUAUUCAGAUAUAUUUACAUUUUAUUCUCUCUUUUCAUAAUAUAUGUAUUUUUUUAUAUAUUGGAAAUAAAAUUAAAUGAAUUAAUACUCUAUUGUGUUUC